AUUGAACGCUGGCGGCAGGCCUAACACAUGCAAGUCGAGCGAGCGGCGGACGGGUGAGUAAUGUCUGGGAAACUGCCUGAUGGAGGGGGAUAACUACUGGAAACGGUAGCUAAUAUCGCAUACCAUCAGAUGUGCCCAGAUGGGAUUAGCGAGUAGGUGGGGUAAAGGCUCACCUAGGCGACGAGCCCUAGCUGGUCUGAGAGGAUGACCAGCCACCCUGGAACGUAGACACGGUCCCGCCUCCUACGGGAGGCAGCAGUGGGGAAUAGUGCCCAAUGGGCGCAAGCCUGAUGCAGCCAUGCCGCGGGUGUGAAGAGGGCCUUCGGGUUGUAAAGCUCUUUCAGCGGGGAGGCGUUACCCGCAGAAGAAGCACCGGCUAACUCCGUGCCAGCCGCCGCGGUAAUAC
rnacentral:rRNA from 1 species